GAUGAACGCUGGCGGCAUGCCUAAUACAUGCAAGUCGAGCGAACGGACGAGAAGCUUUCUUCUCUGAUGUUAUCGGCGGACGGGUGAGUAACACGUGGAUAACCUACCUAUAAGACUGGGAUAACUUCGGGAAACCGGAGCUAAUACCCGGUAAUAUUUUGAACCGCAUUGUUCAAAAGUGAAAGACGGUCUUGCUGUCACUUAUAGAUGGAUCCGCGCUGCAUUAGCUAGUUGGUAAGGUAACGGCUUACCAAGGCAACGAUGCAUAGCCGACCUGAGGGGGUGAUCGGCCACACUGGAACUGAGACACGGUCCAGACUCCUACGGGAGGCAGCAGUAGGGAAUCUUCCGCAAUGGGCGAAAGCCUGACGGAGCAACGCCGCGUGAGUGAUGAAGGUCUUCGGAUCGUAAAACUCUGCUAUUAGGGAAGAACAUAUGUGUAAGUAACUGUGCACAUCUUGACGGUACCUAAUCAGAAAGCCACGGCUAACUACGUG
rnacentral:rRNA from 1 species